rnacentral:lncRNA from 1 species
AUGUCUGUCCCCAAAUGUCUGUCCCCUAGCAUUAACUCCCAGCCCCCAGCUCUCCUGCCCCAGGCUUGCCCCUCUCAAUAUUCUGCUGAGCACUUUGAAAACUCGCUGCAGAAACUUCCUGUGGUUCUUGGAGUGGUUCUGAACCUAAUUUUAGCUGGUUGGCAGCAGCGUGGUGAGAACCAAGAGCAGCCCCUGUGGAUGUCCCUCCUCAGAAACCCCCCCUGCCAUUCCCUGCACACAAACACCAUCAAGCAGUUCAAUCUUCACAGAAAUGAGGCCUCUAAAAGCCACAGCCCAAACGAAAGGAGAGCCAGGGCAAGGUCCCGAGUCAGUCUGGAGACUGCAGAGGCUGAGAGCUCCAUUUCCCACUUCAUUAACGAAAUGAUGGAGCAAGGAAUGGAGGAGUCAGCACCCAACCCUGAGAGAAACGGGACAGCAGCAAAAAGCAGCGGCCUCUGCGACUCCCAGAAGGGAAUUAACCUGCACAAAGGUGAUUGCUGAAGUUUUGAAAAGCCAGGUCAGCAGCAACCACAAAGCCCAGAGAGAACUGAGAUAUAUUUGGUGAAAAUUCAUCUUUUUCUUGUGUGUGUUUUUUGGUUUGUGUUAGGCUUUUGUGGUCAUUUUUUAUAAAAGGAUUUGAGUAGUAAGGUGAUGAUUCAGGUUUUAGCACAUGCUUUCCAGUUUCUCAAUACAAAAAUGUAAAAAGACAAGUCCAGCCAUGCCUUUGAGGGCCAGCACCCCCUGCCCAGCAGCCCCGUUUGGAUCAGGGACCAAGAGCCAACCUGCAGAGUUCUGCCAAUGCAAACAUCUGUGGGAAAUGUGGGAAACCCUCUGAGACCUCUGCAGGGGAAUGCUGCCUGGCAUCUUGGAACCAGCAAACCUUCAGCAGCCUCCCCUGAUGGCACAAACCUUGCUGAGGUCACACAAGACUCAAAAAAAUAAAACCCCAAGUGCAGAGGAGUUUUGUACA